rnacentral:lncRNA from 1 species
AACAAGUAACUUUCUUAGUGAAAUAUACUACAUACUACAAAAUUGUGCGUCGUCAAGGGUCGGCGUCGGGUGCGUCGGGCGGGUUCGGCCUCGUUUCCCUCGUCGUCGAACCCCUCGAACCGGCGUUGAUACUGAGGAACCCAGCCCCAGUUGUUUUGCCGUUCGUCUGCCCACUGUCGCCACGGCUCCUCGAUCUCCUCGUCGGCCAUGGUAGUACUAAGUGCUGUGGGAUAUAAACGAGGUUAUAUCCCUGGGCCUAUGGGCAGACUAUGCUCUACGGGACAAUAGUCUGGUGCGAUAUUUGAAACUUGAAAAUACCCUAACGAAAUAUUACUACCGAUGUUAUACAAUGUCUUAUACUAAUCCGCCUUGUGGGCGGCCCCAAAUUUACUUGCUAGUCCUGGCUGGUCGUCUGUGUUGCGUCUUCGCUGUCCUGCUGUUCCUCGUCGUCGUGUUGCUGGAAGGCCUUUAGGUCGGCUACCCCGGCGGUGCGCCGUUGUCCAGUCUCCGUGUGACGAACUCUGGCUAUGUUGGGUGAAUCGAAUUUGGUUACCUUAUACGGCCCCUCGUACCGUGGGGCUAACUUGGCGGCGAACCCGUCGUUGGCUUUCGAUAGCACGUGUUGCUUCACUAGCACCAAGCUGUCAAUGGUUGGUCUCCAAUCGCGUCGUCGUAGGUUGUAGUGGCGGCCCUGUUCUGCCGAUGCUCGUUGUGUGUUGUCCCUUGCCGCCUGGAAAACCUCGUACAGCUGUUUUGCCCUGGUUUCGGGAUCGGUAGCGACUAUUCCGGAUCUUGGCGUGACUUCCUCGUACAAUGCUCCUGGUAGUCUCGGCUCUCGUCCUUGGACCAGGAACGCCGGACUGAAUCCUGUUGUGUCGGACACGCUCCCAUUGAUUGCCAAUGCAAUCUCCGGUAGCAGGGUGUCCCAUGUACUAUGCGGUCCCUCGAUGUACUGUGCGAUAAUGGUCUUGAUUGUCCGGUUAGAGAGCUAACCCGUCGGGUUUUUCUGUGGAUUGUACGGCGCAGUAUACUCCAGUGUCAUACCUGACCGCUUACAAAACGCUUUAAAGGAACGACUGGUAAAUUGAGUCCAGUUGUCGCAGAUGAACUUCCAGGGUAUCCCAAAUCGGCUGAGGAUCCGGUCGCGAAAAGCUUUCUCCAGGUAUGUUGCCGUGGCACGGCGCAGAGGUAUCAACUCCACCCAUUUGGAAAACAUAUCCAAGAAGACUAGUAACACUGUGUUACCUUGUUUGGAUCUCGGCAGUGGUCCAACGAAGUCGGCGCAAAUGGUAGCGAAAGGCUCGCUUGCCUGUCGUGUUAGCAUCUUCCCUGCUGGCUUGGCUUGUUGCGUCUUGAACUUUUGGCACACAGCACAUUUCCUUACGUAGCGAGCGACGUCUCUGAAGAUUCCGGGCCAAUAAUAUCUUUGACAUACCCUUGUCGUUGUUUUGCGUAUUCCCAGGUGUCCCGCGCUUGGUUGGUCGUGGCAUUCUUGCAGCAACACACAGAGCUUCCAUGGUAUGAAAUCUUCCUCCAGGGGCCGUUGUCCUACGUUCCUGUACAAUUGUCCGUUCUCCAGGGUAUAAUCGGGGUACUUCUCUGGUCGCUCCAGUGUCUCCUGUGUGCGUCGUCGUAUCCAUGCGCAUGUGUUCUGUUCCUCGAUGAUUGUCUGUAUGGCCUCGAGUGGCUGUCGUGACAAGGCGUCUGCGACAACGUUCUGUCGUCCUUUUCGGUAGUGAAUGUCGAACUGGAACUGUUGGAGUUCCAGGGCCCAUCGUGCAAUUCGUCCUGUGGGAUUUUCGAUCGUGUUGAGCCACUUGAGGGCCAAGUGGUCCGUCACGACGUCGAACCUGUAUCCUUCCAAAUAGCAACGCAGCUUCCUGAUGGCCCAGACGAUUGCUAAGCAUUCCUUCUCGGUGGCGGAGUAAUUCUCCUCGGCCCUCGAUAGUCUCCGGCUCACAUAUGCAAUGACCCUCUCGCCGUCGGCACUCGGCUGGGUUAGUACUCCUCCUAGUCCGUAGUCGCUGGCGUUAGUCUGGAAAGAGAACUUACUGGUAAAAUCCGGACACGCGAGAACUGGUGCCUCGGUCAGUAGUUCCUUGAGUUGUGCGAACGCUUGCUGUUGUGGCAUUUCCCACGUCCAUUUCUUGCCUUUCCGAAGUAGCUGUGACAUCGGUUGUACCACGGCUGCAAAGUUUGGGACAAAUCGCCUGUACCAGGAGGCGAGACCCAGGCAUCGGCGUAGUUCUCGUACACUGGUUGGAGCUGCGAGCUUUUGGACAGCGGCGAUCUUCUCGGGAUCGGUGUGAAUUCCUUCCUUUCUAACGACGUGCCCCAGGUACACCAACCUGCGCUGGAAGAAGAGGCACUUCUUCCGGUUAAGCCUGAGGUUCGCUUGCCGUAAGCGCCUCAACACUUCUCUGAGAUUCCUGACGUGUUCCUCCAAUGUGGUUCCAAUGAUGAUGAUGUCAUCGAGAUAUGCGAACGCGUGGGGUUCCAUAUCUGCCCCGAUGACGCUGUCGAGUGCCCUCUGGAAUGUUGCGGGUGCUGAGUGGAGUCCAAAUGGCAUAACACGCCAUUGGAAAAGACCUCGGCCUGGUACUGUGAACGCGGUGCAUUCACGGCUUGCCUUGGCCAUGGUAUCUGCCAAUACCCGCUUUUCAAGUCCAAUGUGCUAAUAUACUUAGCGUUCCGCAAUCUCUCCAAGAUUGAAUUUAUCCUCGGCAGGGGGUAUGCAUCCGGUACCGAUCGUGCAUUGAGUUGCCGAAAGUCCACACACAUGCGGGUUUCUCCAGUUUUCUUGCCCACCAACACAAUAGGGGCACUGUGUGGGCUUUUGGACGGCUCGAUGCAUCCGUCCCGUAGUAACUCGUCUACUUGCGCGUGAAUUAUCCCUUGCAUGGCUGGGAUCCAGGCGUCGUCCUGUGUGGUCCUCGUUCUCACUGCUAAGGUGCUAAGGUUGCUUUUCCUUGUCAUCGAUGGGGGGCCACAGAUGAUCCCC